UGGGGAAUAUUGGACAAUGGGCGAAAGCCUGAUCCAGCCAUGCCGCGUGAGGGAUGAAGGCCCUAGGGUUGUAAAGCUCUUUUAACGGGGAAGAUAAUGACGGUACCCGUAGAAUAAGCCCCGGUUAACUUCGUGCCAGCAGCCGCGGUAAUACGAAGGGGGCAAGCGUUGCUAGGAAUCACUGGGCGUAAAGCGAACGUAGGCGGACUCUUAAGUCGGUGGUGAAAUCCUGGAGCUCAACUCCAGAACUGCCUUCGAUACUGGGAAUCUCGAGUUCGGGAGAGGUGAGUGGAACUGCGAGUGUAGAGGUGAAAUUCGUAGAUAUUCGCAAGAACACCAGUGGCGAAGGCGGCUCACUGGCCCGAUACUGACGCUGAGGUGCGAAAGCGUGGGGAACAAACA
rnacentral:rRNA from 1 species